CACCUGGUCGUUGAGCCAAUUGGGGCCAUAGAGGGUCUGCAGGUCGUCCAUGGUCAACACGUGCCGUUUGUAGCUGACCCGGAAGCCCCGCAGCAGCGCAUUGCCGGGCAGCCGCUGGUAGGACUGCAUCAGCUGCUGCACAGAGCCUCUCCUCUGCGGGGUGCUGAACUCCUGCUGGAAGAUGUCCUCCAGCUUCUCCACCACUUCGUCGGCGCUGACGGGGAUGAGGCUCCCGUAGGACUGCAGGAACUCGUCCAGGAUGCCUGCGGGGCGUUCAUGAACGGGGCGGCUCAUUAAUUAGCUCCUUAAUUAGCUCCCUGAGCAGCUCACAGCAGGGCAGCGAUCCCUCCGGUCUCCCCAUUAAUGGGAAUCCGUUCCUCCAUCCCCGGUUAAUCAACGCUGGGGGGGGUCGGAGAGGGCCUUUGGGGGGGGGGGGGGGGCGUUAAUUAGCAGCCGCCGUUAAUUAGUUCGUUAAUUAGCUCAUUGAUUACAUAACAGCAGGGCAGCCCUAUUAAUGGCUCCAAUGUGAAUCCAUUUUGCCAUCUUUAAUUAAUCAACGCCGGGGGGGUUGGAGAGCCGGAGGGGGGGGCGGCAUUAAUUAAAGGUCAUCAUUUAUUAACUUAUUAAGUAAUUCAUUAAUUAGCAGCCAGGCAGAGUUAGCUCUGACCCCCCUAUUAAUGGCUCCAACGUGAAUCCAUUUCUGCGUCUUUAAUUAAUCAACGCUGGUGGUGUCAAAGACCCCUUCGGGGAGGGGGGGGGGCAUUAAUUACCAUUAAUUAACUCGUUAAUUAAUACCACAGAGAUGCUCACUGUGACCCCCUAUUAACAUCCCAAACCUG
rnacentral:lncRNA from 1 species